UACGAAGGACCCGAGCGUUAUCCGGAUUUAUUGGGUUUAAAGGGUGCGUAGGCGGAUUUAUAAGUCAGUGGUGAAAUCUCCCCGCUCAACGGGGAAACUGCCAUUGAAACUAUUUAUCUUGAGUACAUUUGAGGCGGGCGGAAUGUGUCAUGUAGAGGUGAAAUUCUUAGAUAUGACACAGAACACCAAUUGCGAAGGCAGCUCGCUAAACUGUAACUGACGCUGAGGCACGAAAGCGCGGGGAUCAAACAGG
rnacentral:rRNA from 1 species